rnacentral:tRNA from 1 species
GGGGCUGUGGCUCAGUGGUAGAGCUGCUCACCUAGCAUGUGAGAGGCCCUGGGUUCGAUUCUCAGCAUCACAU